rnacentral:rRNA from 1 species
UACGGGGGGGGCAAGCGUUGUCCGGAAUCAUUGGGCGUAAAGCGCGCGUAGGUGGCCCGAUAAGUCCGCUCUGAAAGUCACAGGCUCAACCUGUGAAAGCGGGUGGAUACUGUCGGGCUAGAGUCCGGAAGAGGCGAGUGGAAUUCCUGGUGUAGCGGUGGAAUGCGCAGAUAUCAGGAGGAACACCAACGGCGAAGGCAGCUCGCUGGGACGGUACUGACACUGAGGCGCGAAAGCGUGGGGAGCGAACAGG